GACGAACGCUGGCGGCGUGCUUAACACAUGCAAGUCGAACGGUGAAGCGAGUGCUUGCACUCGUGGAUCAGUGGCGAACGGGUGAGUAACACGUGAGUAACCUGCCCAUCACUCUGGGAUAAGCACUGGAAACGGUGUCUAAUACUGGAUACGACCAACCCUUGCAUGGGGUGUUGGUGGAAAGAUUUAUCGGUGAUGGAUGGACUCGCGGCCUAUCAGCUUGUUGGCGGGGUAAUGGCCCACCAAGGCGACGACGGGUAGCCGGCCUGAGAGGGUGACCGGCCACACUGGGACUGAGACACGGCCCAGACUCCAACGGGAGGCAGCAGUGGGGAAUAUUGCACAAUGGGCGAAAGCCUGAUGCAGCGACGCCGCGUGAGGGAUGACGGCCUUCGGGUUGUAAACCUCUUUCAGCAGGGAAGAAGCGAAAGUGACGGUACCUGCAGAAGAAGCACCGGCUAACUACGUG
rnacentral:rRNA from 1 species